UCGGGUUCCCCCAGGAUGUGACGUUUCUGGGAGCGACGAGCUGGCCCUACCACGUGAGACCUGACUUCCUGAGUCAGCGCUUUUGGCGUACUGAGAAACAAAAUGUCUGGCAGUUUUCUUUGUGAAGCAAGAACUCUGAAGGACCAUCCUGUCUUGUUUGGGCAAGUUCAACAGUCACUUUCUUGUUGGUCCUGCAUGUCCAGUUUAUACACCAUACAGUCAAGCAUUCCAGGCUCACACUGGGCUACUGAGAGUUGGUGAGCUUCUUUGGGUUCCAGAGUACAGAGCUAUCUUUCUAAUCAAGACCAUAGGAGAUGCCAAUUGGGGAGCCACUCUGCCUCCUAUGUGAGUCACAUCUGAGCUACAGGGCCUGUUGACAAAGGCUGUCUGCUUAAGUUCCAGGAGCAACAGGGAAAACAGGGGAUGGCUGAAGUGGUCUAUUCUCUCACACAUGUGAACUUGGGAUGAGCCAUGGGCCUGAUGUAUACCAGGAUGGUGAGCACUGUGCACAGGAGGGAGUCCAUGUAGCCCUGGCUUCAGGGAAAUGCUGGAAGCUGCUGCCCAAGUUUGGAGUGAAGGGUCUUGGAGGGCAUGAGCGUGAGUUGUUGGGAAACUGGGUUGUGACAAGGCUAAAAUGGUAGUGAGCAUCUUGUUUUUCCCUUUUAAUCCGAGACAGUUUCUCAUGUAGCCCAGACUGUCCUCAAAUUUUCUAUAUGGCCAAGGAUAAUCUUGAACUUUUCAUUCUCUUGCAUUUACCUCCACAGUGUUGGUAUUACAGGUGUGUCCUCAUGCCCAAUUUUAUGAAAUGCUAAGUAUUGAAUGCAGGGCCUCAUGUAUGCUAGACAACCACCCACCAUAAAUGAGCUACAUCCUUGAACUGAGCAUC